UGGGGAAUAUUGCACAAUGGGCGCAAGCCUGAUGCAGCCAUGCCGCGUGUGUGAAGAAGGCCUUCGGGUUGUAAAGCACUUUCAGCGGGGAGGAAGGGAGUAAAGUUAAUACCUUUGCUCAUUGACGUUACCCGCAGAAGAAGCACCGGCUAACUCCGUGCCAGCAGCCGCGGUAAUACGGAGGGUGCAAGCGUUAAUCGGAAUUACUGGGCGUAAAGCGCACGCAGGCGGUUUGUUAAGUCAGAUGUGAAAUCCCCGGGCUCAACCUGGGAACUGCAUCUGAUACUGGCAAGCUUGAGUCUCGUAGAGGGGGGUAGAAUUCCAUGUGUAGCGGUGAAAUGCGUAGAGAUCUGGAGGAAUACCGGUGGCGAAGGCGGCCCCCUGGACAAAGACUGACGCUCAGGUGCGAAAGCGUGGGGAGCAAACAGG
rnacentral:rRNA from 1 species